CAAAUUAGAGCUUGAGAGGAAGUUUUUUGUUUACAUUAAAAAGUUGUCGUGCAAUUCGAUAUAAUUUGA
rnacentral:tRNA from 1 species